AGGAACUCAGGUGAGAGGUGGAGAGACAGGACUCAGGUGAGAGGUGGAGAGACAGGAACUCAGGUGAGAAAAGGAGAGACAGGAACUCAGGUGAGAGGUGGAGAGACAGGAACUCAGGUGAGAUGUGGAGAGACAGGAACUCAGGUGAGAGGUGGAGAGACAGAACUCAGUGAGAGAUGGAAACAGACAGGAACUCAGGUGAGAAAAGGAGAGACAGGAACUCAGGUGAG
rnacentral:lncRNA from 1 species